rnacentral:lncRNA from 1 species
AUCAGUUUGUCGGAUUAUGUAUUCAGGGACGUGGGUUUUUCGGCGAGUUUUGAUUUGUAACUAUUUAUUACACUCUGGAAUUCUCAUUCCAGACAAUAUUUGACUUUAAAGUUAAUACCUGUUAUAUUAGCAGAUAAGAUAAGAAUACCUCAGUUUGUUCAUCAUCAUCCUCAAUACCUCAGUUUGUUCAUCAUCAUCCUUCUCUAUGUCUCACGUCUCGAUCUCCUACUACACGCGACGUUUGCCAAGAGUUCCGAACCUGUAUGCAACUCAGAUGAAACAUGGUUUGUUUGUCUGAAAUAGAUAACUGAAGCCAGUUGUUGCAA